AAAAUUCUGCCUGAGAUUGGAAUUCUAGUAAUGCAAUUGACAAGCCAUUGAUGAGUUAUGAUUUCGACGAAGCAAGUAAUAAUGUCGAAGUCAAAGAUAUUGUCGAUAUUCCAGUUGAAGUUGAAGUUGUUGCUAACAUACCGGACACAGUCGAAGUCGGAGAGGUUAUGGCUAGAACAAGUCAGAGACCUCAAAGAACUAGAGCUCGUC
rnacentral:lncRNA from 1 species